rfam:Pseudomassariella vexata strain CBS 129021 BCR38scaffold_4, whole genome shotgun sequence.
GCCUCUAUGGCACAGUGGUAAUGCGUCGCACUCGUAAUUCUAGGGCAAUGCGAAGAUCCGCGGUUCAAUUCCGCGUGGAGGCA